CAUGAGGGAAAUGGAAAGGUAAACGUUGGCCAAGAUCGAGUGGAUGCCAGAGGUGAAUUUUACCCUUUACAUUUGGACCUAUUCUGAUCAACAAGGGUUGGAGAAUUUUUUGAGGUUGGUGUUGGAUUGGGAUUGGGAUUGUGGUUGGUUUGAUGAGAAAGAUGUUGUGUUUUAAGAGGCAACACAUGGAAUCGUUGUUGAUGCCGAAGGGUUUUGGAAGCUUCAAUGGUAAGAAGUGGUUGGGACGGAAGUUAGGGAUGGAAGAGCGCCAUGUGGAACAGACAGAACGAAAGCGAAGAAGAUAGAAUUCGCUGUUCAGUUUUUCGGAUAUUAAUUGAAGAAGUUCUGUUGGAAGAAGAGACCAGUCAGGCUUAGCCAUGGAUGGUGCUGCUUCGGUUUGGGCAAGGAAUGUUGUAGCUUUAGGGUUUUUGUGUGGUCCAAUGUUCAAUGUCAAUGACUUAUUUAUAAGCAAAACUAUGUUAUUUGGCUCGACUUUUUUAGGUGUUACAAGCUAUCUGAAAGUUAAAAGUGAAAAAAAAGUUAUUUUAAAGUUAAAAGUUGUUUGGUAAAAUAUAAGUAUGAAUUUUCCAAAUUGAAAAAGAAAAUUAUUUUUUUAUAAUUAAGAGUUUUAUUAAAAAAGUGUUUGGCCAACUUCUCAUUUUAAAGAGAAUAAAAAGCUAAAAAAAGUCAGGUCAAACAAGCUCUAAAAAAGAAAAAUGAUGUACAUGUGAACUUAUCUCAAUUGGUAGGGAUAUCACACUAUAUGUGUAGGUGCCCGGAUUCAAAAACCCUGGACACUCCACUUAUUUACAUAUGAGUGAAUUUUUUAGCCACCAAACUACUUGAAAAAAAAACUAGUAUAUCUACUUAAAAGCCUCGAGAGUCGAGACACUAGUUAAAUGACCUUUAAAAAAAUUAGGCUUAACUAUACAUUUGGUCCCUUACGUUUAUUUUAGGUUUCAAUUUGGUCAUUUACGUUUAAAAAAUAUUAAUUUGGUCUCUUGCGUUUAUUUUAGGUUUCAAGUUAGUCCUUUCCAUCAGUUUUUGGACACUCCACUUAUUUACAUAUGUGUGGAUUUUCUAGCGACCACAAUACUUUGAAGAAAAAAAAAUCUAGUAUAUCUACUUAAAUUCCUAUCUACUUAAAAGCCUCGGGACACUAGUUAAAUGACCCUUAAAAAAAUUAUUAUUUUCACUAAAUUAUCCAUUAUAAAGUUACUUUUGGUAAAUGGGCCAAAUUUUUGCAUUGGCUUUUGAUUAUUUUUAAGUUUUUAAGUUUAUAAUAUAUUGAUUUUUUAGUUUUUAAGUUUUAAAUUAAUCAUUUAAUUUUGUUAAAUUAACCAUUAAACUAUUAAUAAUCAUUCUUACAAAAAUUGAAUUAUAAGCAAAAAUUGAAUUAUAAGGAGUAUAAAGUAUACUCAAUCCUUACAAUUCUUAGAGGACCAUUACAUGCUAAUAAUGCAUUUUAAUGGAUUCUUACUAGUUAUUUUAACUAUAAACCAAAACCAUGAAAUAUAAAUAAUCUUGUCUUCUAUGGCUUUCCAAUCAAUAGCUUAUCCUCUAAAGACCACAUUGUUACGCGCACACCAUAUACACAAAAUGGUUGCCAACCAAAUAACAUGACAAACUUUUUCAUAUUUCUUAUUUUUCAAUAAGGCGCCAAAAGAGGAAAAAUGUUUUCAUCCAUCGCCAAAAGAGAUGAAAUCCACAUUCAUCCAUCAAAAGAGAAUAUUGAUAUACUCUUCCAACAAAUAUUUUUUCAUAUCCAUUGGCCGAGGAUCAAAGUUAGGACCAAAUAGGUAAGGGGUCCCAUUACCAAAGAAAAAAACAGUUAAGGGGUCUAAGAAUCUACCCCUUGUGUCACACUAUGUUGGUUACUCCUUUAAUUUUAGCCAAAAUGUAUUGUGUUUUAAGUUUAACAUUUGUAUAAUUGUAAUAGAUGCAACAUAUUGAUCCCCAAAAACAAAACCCUAUCUCCUAAGUUUGAUAACUUCACCCACUUUUUCUUCUCAUCAAGCCUAUACACAUAAAUCCGUGGACCAAGAUCACAAUCACAAUCACAAUCAGAAUCACAAUGUGAGGUUGUUGUUCCCCCAGAUACGUGCCAAAUCCUAAUGUCCUCUUUUGUGUUUUAAGUUUAACAUUUGUAAUAGAUGGAUCUUUGUAACAGAUUAGACAGUUAUCCUUUUUAAUGAUUAUUCAUUAUACAAAUGUUCAUAUAGCUGUUUACUGAGUGGCUUAACAUUGUAUGAGUAUUUUUUACUAGAGAUUGUCCGGUGAUCAUCUCAAUUGUAAGUAAAAUUAAGGGUUGAAAUUGCACGGGAGAUAAACUGCACAAGAGAGGAUAACCUCUCCUUAUUAUGGAGGGAAUCUCCUUUGUGGCAAUUGGCAAGCAACAACGUGCUAUGUUUCAGCCUCCCUUUUAUCACCAGUUUAAUGGUAAUUGAGAACUUUUCGGGCAGUAUUAGGAGAUAAAAUCGAAUCAGCACCAUGAUUGGCAGUCUACCAACACUGCCAUUUUUCGUAUAUGCAACAAUAGUAAAACCAGGCCAACCAUGAUCAGAUGAUGAAUAAAUUUGCGCAUGAUAUGCAAUUGGAUCCUAUGCGGCAAUACCCUCUUGGCCGAGGAUAAUUUGGGCAUUUCUCGAUGGCCCGUGUGUUUCCCUUCUCGUGUUUGAUUGUAGUUAUUCCUAUGUUUGAACAUUUUUUAUUUUUAGAACAUGCUAAUUGUUGAACUUGCCUUAGCUUGCCUUAAUUGAAGUCCAUGUGAAUUGAUCGUUGCAAUCAGUGAAAUACGACAGGAAAAAAUAUUAAUUUCUUGUAUUUGUAGAAUCAUUACUGUAAAAUUGAGGUUGAUGUUACUAUAAGAGAUUGUUACUUUACUACAAAAUUUUCAUUUGGCAAAUGUGAUUUUUGAGGAUAAGUAACAAUUUAAAAGUUAAGAGUUUGUGAUGAAUUCCGGUCAUAAAAGUGAUUUUAGGUUUCUUUAGAUCAAUUUUAGCUAGAACUUAUUUAGUUUUACUAAGUUUUAGAUUUACAAAGAUUUUGAGCAGCUUAUCCAUAAUAUUUUUCAAAUUACAUUGUGGGGGAAGCCCAUUCUUCUCUUAGCCAAGGAUGCUUUUUCUUAGCACUGCAAUAAGGUAACCUUGUCGAAUUAAACUGAGCCCUCAUGAGGUAUGUUUAACCCAGAAACUGUCAAAAAAGGAGUACUGCGAUAAGGUAAGCUUAUCGAAUUAAACUGAGCCCUCAUGAGGCAUGUUUAACCUAGAAACUGUCAAAAAAGGAGUACCGCGAUAAGGUAAGCUUAUCAAAUUAAACUGAGCCCUCAUGAGGUAUGUUUAAUCCAUAAACUGUAAAAAAAGGAGUACCGCAAUAAGGUAAGCUUAUCGAACUAAACUGAGCCCUCAUGAGGUAUGUUACCAGAAAUUUGCCUACUUGUAUAAUGAAGUGUUUUUUUGGUAUAAAAUGACUAUUGGCUCUUCUUUCAGUAAAAUUUUGAAAAAUUGAAAACAACAAUGUAUGGACCAUUUUCACUAACGUAUCUAGAGAUGGAAAUUUUUUGAGGUUGUUUCUAACUAAUAGUAAUAACAUAACAAUGAACAAAAGACAGAAACAAUACAUACUAACAUAGCCAUGGAAUAGAAAGGAAAGCCAACUUUGUUUUUUCAUUACUAAAUAUUAUCAGAUUCAGCAGAAAAAUGACAGAAAUAGUGAGAAAUUCAAUAACAAAACCCAAAUAUUUUCAAAAUCCAAAACCCAAAUAUUACUUCCAUUUUUUCAUCUUCUUCCUCAAGUCCUUCAUUACUUCCCUUCAUCAAAACUCUUUACUUUUCUUCCUCUUCACUUUCUUCUUGUUCUUCACUUUCUCCAUCUUCUUCCUCUUCACUUUCUUCAUCUUCAUCUUACUUUCUUCAUCUUCAUCAAAUCUUCAUAACAAAAAAAUCCAGAAAAUUAAAAAUCAAAACCCAAAUAUUUUCAAAAUCCAAAACCCAGAAGCAAUGAGUCAAAGCUGCACCUUUGAUAUAUUUCUCAACAAUCUACACAAAACAUAAACAAACCCAUAAAAUUCUGUUCAUGAAUAAAAAGUUUUUUUGGAUGUUUACCAUAAACAAACCCAUAAAAUUCUUCAAGGUAGUAAUAAAGGAUGAGCUAUCAUAACUCAUUCUUCUAAGUGAACAAGAAACAAAGAGGACAGAUCAAGUCAUAUUGUAAGUUACUCAGAAUUUAAUUUUUCACAAUGUCAGUUCUAAUAAAACAAUAAAAAAAAACCAAGACUUUGCACUUUGCCGUCAUAGUUACGGAACAUGCACUUGAAGACAACAAAUGGUAAAAAUAGGAUUCUAAACAGCAUGAGAGGUUUGAUUUUGUUACAAAAAUCAUCUCUCUAAAGGACAUUGUAGGUUUUGUAAACAAUGGAGUAGAGCAUCAAAACUCAUAACCGCCCUUUUAAAGUAGGGCAAUCAUAGAGCAGUAACACAGUUUUAAGUCAUUCAUUUAAUAGAAUCAAACAAACAUAACUCUUAUUAGACUAAGAAGGUUUUCUGCCUCUAAAAAUUAAAUAUAUUGAGAUUUAGGACUUUGUUGGUAAGUUUAUAGUCUGCAAAAGUAACAAUAAAAGAAGAUAAUCAAACCCAUCAAAAUUGUUACAUCUAGGUUUUGUGGUUCUUUUACUUGUAGUAUGUUAUUAAAAGACAUGAAUGCUUCUAUCCCAGCUAUAUUUAUUUUGAAAUUUACUGGUACUAUUGACUGAAAUAUGUUACCAAAAACAAUAAUAUUUAGUUCAAAAUUUUUCCAUUUUUGCCUAUUAAGCAACAGCUACCUCUACCUCUUCUUAAUACCAUUGCCACAACUACCUCUGAUCCAAACCUUUCCCUCAAAAUCAGAGCAUCUGAUCAAAAUCCCAUUUAGAGAAUCCUCAUACAAACUCGAUGGUUCUACCUCUUCUUAUUACAAGUUCUCUUAUGUAACACUUGCACCAGUAAAGUUAAGCAUGACUAUUUCUUAUUCAAACUCACACUUUUGCCUUUAUUCUAGUUAACAAAUUUUGUACUUCAUAAGUAUCUAGGUUUGACUAAAUAAGAAUGGUGGAAUUAUUCAUUUUAUUUACAAGUUUAUUCUUUAGAAAUGUAGUUUUUUUUUUUCUAAUUCAAAUUUUCUCCCUGAAGAGAAUGUGAUUUUCUGACCUCUUAUUCUCCUUAAGUUGUUGGACUUACUUGUAAAUGACACAAAACAUGACUGAAUUCAUAUCAUCUUAUUAUCAUAGUGAGAAAACUAAAUAGUCCAAACGUCAGAUCAUAUUGAUAUUUCUAAUUCGUUUUCUACAUUAUAUAUGUACUAUCAAUCACAAUUACAUUAGAAACAUUCAAUGCUAGAUAACUUACUCUUUUUCCAAAUGCAGCUCGUCACGAUCCACAAUCCAGAAGCCACAAGUAAGUUGAAAUAAUCGGGAUAAUCAGACAAAGGCAACAUCUCAUUUUCAUCCAAGUUGAAAUCACAAAUUCCACAACCGAGGUCACUCACAUCCAUAUUGAUCACACAAUUCCCUUUGGCAAAACCCAAAUCGGAAGCAGAAGCAGAAAAUGAACAUUUUUUCCCCAAGAACAAAACCCUAUCUCCUAAAUUUGACAACUCCACCCACUUUUUCUUCUUCUCAUCAAGCCUAUACACAUCAAUCGAUGCAUCAUAAUCACAAGAAGACGUAUCCACUAACAACAACUCACUCUCAACCACACAUAAUCUACUCUGGCCAACACACAAUAGCUCAGCUGCCACCAAAUCAACGCUUAACUCCGGUCCAACCAUAAAAGUUUCAGCCCUAUCCUCUANNNNNNNNNNNNNNNNNNNNNNNNNNNNNNNNNNNNNNNNNNNNNNNNNNNNNNNNNNNNNNNNNNNNNNNNNNNNNNNNNNNNNNNNNNNNNNNNNNNNNNNNNNNNNNNNNNNNNNNNNNNNNNNNNNNNNNNNNNNNNNNNNNNNNNNNNNNNNNNNNNNNNNNNNNNNNNNNNNNNNNNNNAACAAGGGUUGGAGAAUUUUUUGAGGUUUGUGUUGGAUUGGGAUUGGGAUUGUGGUUGGUUUGAUGAGAAAAAUGUUGUGUUUUACGAGGCAACACAUGGAAUCGUUGUUGAUGCCGAAGGGUUUUGGAAGCUUCAAGCGUAAGUGGUGGUUGGGAGGGUGGUUAGGGAUGGAAGAGCGCCACGUGGAACAGACAGAACGAAAGCGAAGAAGAUAGAAUUCACUGUUCAGUUUUUUGGAUAUGAGUUGAAGAAAUUCCGUUGGAAGCUGAGACCAGUCACGCUCAGCCAUGGAUGAUGUUGCUUUGGUUUGGGCAAAUGCAAAACAGGAAGAAGAAGACCGUUCGUCAAUACAGCGGCAAGGAAAUGUUGUAGCUGUAGGGUUUUUGUGUGCUCCAAUGUUCUUCAAACACAGUAACAAAUGUACCAAGGGCACAUAUUCAUUUUGAAUUUAAUAUACAUACAAAUUUA
rnacentral:lncRNA from 1 species